rnacentral:tRNA from 1 species
ACCUGGGUGGCUCAGUCGGUUAAGCACCUGACUUCGGAUCAGGUCAUGAUCUCACGGUUCGUGGGUUCGAGCCCCGCAUCGGGCU